rnacentral:rRNA from 1 species
CCUACGGGGUGCAGCAGUCGAGAAUCAUUCACAAUGGGGGAAACCCUGAUGGUGCGACGCCGCGUGGGGGAAUGAAGCUCUUCGGAUUGUAAACUCCUGUUAUGUGGGAGCAAAUCACAAAGAUAGUACCACAAUAGGAAGAGACUGCUAAAUCGGUGCGAGCAGCCGCGUUAAUACAGAGGUCUCAAGCGUUGUUCGGAAUCACUGGGCGUAAAGCGUGUGUAGGCUGUUUCGUAAGUCGUGUGUGAAAGGCGCGGGCUCAACCCGCGGACGGCACAUGAUACUGGGGGACUAGAGUAAUGGAGCGGGAGCCGGAAUGCUCGGUGUAGCAGUGAAAUGCGUAGAUAUC